rnacentral:rRNA from 1 species
GACGAACGCUGGCGGCGUGCCUAAUACAUGCAAGUCGAACGCAGUGGCGGACGGGUGAGUAACACGUGGGUGACCUGCCCUGCACUUCGGGAUAAGCCUGGGAAACUGGGUCUAAUACCGGAUAGUGUGGGAUGGGCCCGCGGCCUAUCAGCUUGUUGGUGGGGUAAUGGCCUACCAAGGCGGCGACGGGUAGCCGACCUGAGAGGGGGGACGGCGACAUGGGGACUGAGAUAAGGCACAGACGCCUACGGGAGGCAGCAGUGGGGAAUAUUGCACAAUGGGCGGAAGCCUGAGGAAGCGACGCCGAGUGGGGGAUGACGGCCUUCGGGUUGGAAACUCCUGUCACCAUCGACGCGGUAGAUGGAGAAGAAGCACCGGCUAACUACGUGCCAGCAGCCGCGGUAAUUC